CUUCUUCACUUGCUCAAGCGUGUCGAGAAGUAUUAAAAUCGAAGAUUUUUAUGAUGGAGAUGGAUUAGCUGCCUCAAUUUUAGCGCGGGCUAAGUUUAAUUAAUUCAUCGAACUGCGCUGAUUUGGAAUGAACCAUCAAAGCUUUAUCAAAAUAAUUGCUUUUAAAAUGUAACAGAAAUCGGACUGCAGGAAGUUACUCUUAUUUGAAAAAGGCGCGGUAAUCGAGUCGUCUGCUAACCGGAAUAACUGAAUCAGGAUUGCUGUAUAUUUGUAUAAUUGUAGGAUUGCUUAUUUGCUUUUGGGAUCGAUACCAACGAUUUCAACUUUGCCACUAUUGCAUUCUUUUUUCUUAAAUUUUUAUAUUUUACAGGCCUUUUCAGUUUCUAGUCCCUAUUUUCAGAUAUGACUAUGCAUUAUAUAAUACAUAAAUCCCAGAUAUUAAUAAAGAGAAAAAUUGAAAUGAAUUCCAUACCCAAGGAUAAAUAAAUAAAAAUUAAACUGUGAUUUUAUGCAGCACUGUAUUUGUUGCAACAUCACAUGGACAGUAAUAAAGAUAUUUCACUAUCAGGACUGCUUCUUUUAUUCGUUCUCUUCUAUACAUUCAGAAAGCUUUUACCCUUUCAAAUAAGUCUAAAUUCUAAACGGGUUUCGAAUCAACCAAUUUAAACCAGUAGCCACAUUCACAGCGCUUGGGUUCACCUUUGUAAA